rnacentral:rRNA from 1 species
AUUGAACGCUGGCGGCAGGCCUAACACAUGCAAGUCGAACGGUAACAGGAAGAAGCUUGCUUCUUUGCUGACGAGUGGCGGACGGGUGAGUAAUGUCUGGGAAACUGCCUGAUGGAGGGGGAUAACUACUGGAAACGGUAGCUAAUACCGCAUAACGUCGCAAGACCAAAGAGGGGGACCUUCGGGCCUCUUGCCAUCGGAUGUGCCCAGAUGGGAUUAGCUAGUAGGUGGGGUAACGGCUCACCUAGGCGACGAUCCCUAGCUGGUCUGAGAGGAUGACCAGCCACACUGGAACUGAGACACGGUCCAGACUCCUACGGGAGGCAGCAGUGGGGAAUAUUGCACAAUGGGCGCAAGCCUGAUGCAGCCAUGCCGCGUGUAUGAGGAAGGCCUUCGGGUUGUAAAGUACUUUCAGCGGGGAGGAAGGGAGUAAAGUUAAUACCUUUGCUCAUUGACGUUACCCGCAGAAGAAGCACCGGCUAACUCCGUG